CCUACGGGGGGCAGCAGUGGGGGAUAUUGCACAAUGGGGGAAACCCUGAUGCAGCGACGCCGCGUGGGUGAAGAAGUAUUUCGGUAUGUAAAGCCAUAUCAGCAGGGAAGAAAGAAGACGGUACCAGACGAAGAAGCCCCGGCUAACUACGUGCCAGCAGCCGCGGUAAUACGGAGGGGGCGAGCGUUAUCCGGAUUCACUGGGUGUAAAGGGAGCGUAGAAGGCCGUGCAAGCCAGGAGUGCAAGCCCGGGGCCCAACCCCGGGACUGCUCUUGGAACUGUGCGGCUAGAGUGCGGGAGGGGCAGGCGGACUUCCUGGUGUAGCGGUGACAUGCGUAGAUAUCCGGAGGACCACCGGCGGCGACGGCGGCCUGCUGGACCGCGCCUGACGUUGAGGCUCGACAGCGUGGGGAGCGAACAGGAUUCGCUACCCCUGUAGUC
rnacentral:rRNA from 1 species